CAGCCGCCGCGGUAAUACGUAGGUGGCAAGCGUUGUCCGGAAUUAUUGGGCGUAAAGGACGCGUAGGCGGAUUAUCAAGUCUCUUGUGAAAUCUAACGGCUUAACCGUUAAACUGCUUGGGAAACUGAUAAUCUAGAGUAAGGGAGAGGCAGAUGGAAUUCUUGGUGUAGGGGUAAAAUCCGUAGAGAUCAAGAAGAAUACCCAUUGCGAAAGCGAUCUGCUGGAACUUAACUGACGCUAAUGCGUGAAAGCGUGGGGAGCGAACAGGAUUAGAUACCCCUGUAGUCCCUGUCUCUUAUAA
rnacentral:rRNA from 1 species